CCUACGGGUGGCAGCAGUAGGGAAUAUUGCUCAAUGGGGGAAACUCUGAAGCAGCAACGCCGCGUGGAGGAUGACGGUUUUCGGAUUGUAAACUCCUUUUGAUAGAGAAGUUAAUGACGGCAUCUGACGCAUAAGCACCGGCUAACUCCGUGCAAGCAGCCGCGGUAAUACGGAGGGUGCAAGCGUUACUCGGAAUCACUGGGCGUAAAGAGCGCGUAGGCGGGGUAGCAAGUCAGAUGUGAAAUCCUAUGGCUUAACCAUAGAAUUGCAGUUGAAACUGGUAUUCUAGAGUAUGGGAGAGGUAGGUGGAAUUCUUGGUGUAGGGGUAAAAUGCGUAGAGAUCAAGAGGAAUACUCAUUGCGAAGGCGAGCGGCUAG
rnacentral:rRNA from 1 species